CCGUCUGUUGGUGCAGCUCCUGGGCGGCCGCACAGGCGCCGGAUGUCCGGCCUCUCGCCCAGAUGUCCGGCCGCUGUAGCUUCAGCAGCUCCGUCUUCUUCCGUUGUCACUUUUAGGCUUCCCUCAUGGAUGGUGUAUUUGUACACUUGCAUUUGCACUCCUCCUCGUUGUCUAUGGCGUUCCGACAAUAUCUAUACAUGCACAUGAGUGGAGUGUCAAGUAGUAUACCAUCCUCGAAGGAGUCAAGUGAUCACGUGUAAAGGAGAUGAUUCACCUUUAUGUAUGUGAAGUAGAUGUCGCACGUGUCACUCGCCGAAUGGACUCUUGACAUGGUGAUGUCCAUAGGAUGCUCCGCAUCAAUUCUCAUGGUCACUACGAGUACACAGGAAAAAGAAUCAAUGAAUUUGGAGUUACGGAUCUCAAGAUAUACCAAAAUGGAAAUUUGAAAUGAAAUCUGCCCAAAAAGAAAUUUGCCAAAACAGUGUUCCUGGAAGAACUGCUUCGGUAGCUGUGGAUGUGCCACGUGGUGUGACAGGAUUGGCUAGAUGGUGUUCACUGCGAUGGCUGAAGAGCGGACGACCGCAACAUAAAGAAAAGUGGUUUGGGAAAUAAAAAAACACGAUGUAAUCUAGGCCGUUAGAGAGAGAGAUCCAACGGAUGGGAUGACUCACCGGAUAGACAGGGGCUCGAUGGCCGCCGAAGUUCAGGAAGACGGUGCGGCUGGCUCGGAUUUUGAGCGUGCUCUUGCUGGAGAGGCCUCCCGAGCUAGGGGAAAAUACUACGAGGUGAGGAGGGAUGCGGCGAACACGCAAACUACCUCAGGGACGACCGGUCCUUCUGUUAGCGUCGGUGAGGUCAGGCUGGAGCAACGGUGGCAGUGGAUUUCUGGGCGAGCUCCGUUUGCUCGACUCUGGGGCGUCUCUGCGUGAAUAUAAUAUGAGGAAGAUAGGGGAGGGUAAGAAUAUCAAGACAGAGGAGUAAAGAGAUGCUACGGACCCUCGGUGCUGAAGAAAUCGGCGGCAGCGGAGCUUCAGCUUCAGCGGACUCCGGCGAGAUCGGGCCGCCGUUCUAGUGCACAGGAGAACUCCGAUUUUGCGAAAAUCUGCGGAGGAGGACUCGGGAAUACCUUAUAGGUGGAUUCCAGGGUCUAGGGUGUGGGGAUAGUGAUCGAAUCUGGUUUGGGAGUGGACUCCAGGACGAACACGGGUGGAGGAAGGGGAUG
rnacentral:lncRNA from 1 species